GACGGCCAUACCAUGCUGAAUAUACGUUCUGCUGACAAUGCUGAAUAAUCGUUAGAUCACCGAAGUCAACAUCAUUGGGCGCGUUCAGUACUUGGGUGGGUGACCACCUGGGAACACCGCGUGCCGUU